UCACAAUAAAAGAAGAACUCAUGCAGUGACCCUCUAGAUGGAAGCACUGUCUGUGGUCUAAAAGAAAAGAUCGUGCAUCCUUUUAGAGUGUUACCGUUUGAGAGGAGCAACGGUGGAGUCG
rnacentral:precursor_RNA from 8 species